UCAUCGAAGGUAAACCUAACAUCCUCAAAUUUAAUGCCACAGUGACUUAACAAGAACCUAAUUGAUUCUCCAAGGCCGGUAACAUCGAAAUAUAUCAGCUU